rnacentral:rRNA from 1 species
GACGAACGCUGGCGGCGUGCUUAACACAUGCAAGUCGAACGGAAAGGCCCUGCUUUUGUGGGGUGCUCGAGUGGCGAACGGGUGAGUAACACGUGAGUAACCUGCCCUUGACUUUGGGAUAACUUCAGGAAGCUGGGGCUAAUACCGGAUAGGAGCUCCUGCUGCAUGGUGGGGGUUGGAAAGUUUCGGCGGUUGGGGAUGGACUCGCGGCUUAUCAGCUUGUUGGUGGGGUAGUGGCUUACCAAGGCUUUGACGGGUAGCCGGCCUGAGAGGGUGACCGGCCACAAUGGGACUGAGAUACGGCCCAGACUCCUACGGUAGGCAGCAGUGGGGAAUAUUGCACAAUGGGCGGAAGCCUGAUGCAGCAGCGCCGCGUUCGGGAUGACGGCCUUCGGGUUGUAAACCGCUUUCGCCUGUGACGAAGCGUGAGUGACGGUAAUGGGUAAAGAAGCACCGGCUAACUACGUG